CAAUCAAAGCAAAAGUUUGGCCUCUGAAGGCAGCAUAGGUUGCUUCCAGACCUCAAAAUGUGCAAGUGAUCAACACUCUGCAUCAGAGCAACAGCAGCUCCACAGCCCUGAAACUGAAGAACCUCUUUAGUAAAAUUUCCUUAAAGAACAGAAAAUUUUUCCUAUCAUUAUUCCAAGAGGAGACCAUAUCAAUACUGCAGGAUGGCCAGCAGUAUCACCCCAGUAUGCCUUCUCUUGUUUAACAGAUUUUCUUUGGAUCUUGGUCUCUGGCCCAAGAGCUGAAGAGCAAGAGGACAUCCCCACUUCCAGACCUUGAUGGAGAUACCACAUACAGGAGCAAUAUGGUGAUGAACCACAAGAUUGACUACAUAAUCAGAACACCAAAACAGACAGCAACACUGACAGAUUUGUUCCAUAACAUGAAAAACUACAUUGGCCCAAGUUUGCAAGAAAGGAAGAUUAGGUUACUUGACCUAGAAGUGGUGGAAUGAGGACAAAGAAUAUUGGAGCAAAAAGUGAGGCAGUGAACCUGAACAUUUUGUUGAAUGGUACAGACUCAGUCCAGAUAUUACUA